GACGAACGCUGGCGGCGUGCUUAACACAUGCAAGUCGAACGGAAAGGCCCUGCUUUUGUGGGGUGCUCGAGUGGCGAACGGGUGAGUAACACGUGAGUAACCUGCCCUUGACUUUGGGAUAACUUCAGGAAACUGGGGCUAAUACCGGAUAGGAGCUCCUGCUGCAUGGUGGGGGUUGGAAAGUUUCGGCGGUUGGGGAUGGACUCGCGGCUUAUCAGCUUGUUGGUGGGGUAGUGGCUUACCAAGGCUUUGACGGGUAGCCGGCCUGAGAGGGUGACCGGACACAUUGGGACUGAGAUACGGCCCAGACUCCUACGGGAGGCAGCAGUGGGGAAUAUUGCAAAAUGGGCGGAAGACUGAUGCAGCAACGCCGCGUGCGGGAUGACGGACUUCGGGUUGUAAACCGCUUUCGCCUGUGACGAAGAGUGAGUGACGGUAAUGGGUAAAGAAGCACCGGAUUACUACGUG
rnacentral:rRNA from 1 species